ACUGUAUUCUUCCCCAUUGGAGUUCCCGAGUGUCCCCCAGGGACUCACAGCUCAGUGUUGAGACCCUUGGGAGGAGCUUCUUGUUGCGUUGUGAGGCACUUUUCCCCUACGGAGCUUUGCGGGUUGAGGAACUGGAUCCCAGUCCUGGUGUGCUGGAGGUGACCACAGUGACAGUGGCCAACGUGGGGGCUGCUGCAGACAAUGUCUUCACCACGUCUGUGGCGAACGCGGCAUCCAUCUCAGGACAUGUUCUGUCUGGUAGGACGGCCCUUCAGAUCGGGGACAGCCUGAACACCGAAAAAGCGACACUGAUUGUCGUCCACACAGAUGGGAGCAUCGUGGAGACCACCGGGCUGAAAGGCCCGGCAGCUCCCCUCACCCCAGGUCCUCAGUCUCCUCCAACCCCUCUGGCUCCCGGCCAAGAAAAAGGUGGAACUAAAUACAACUGGGACCCUUCUGUGUACGACAGUGAGCUGCCCGUACGGUGCCGGAACAUCAGCGGCACUCUGUACAAGAACAGGCUCGGCUCAGGCGGCCGGGGACGGUGCAUCAAGCAG
rnacentral:lncRNA from 1 species